rfam:TPA: Bos taurus chromosome 12, whole genome shotgun sequence.
UCCCUGGUGGCUCAGAGGAUAAGGCAUCUGCCUGCAAUGCAGGAGACCCAGGUUCGAUCCCUGGGUUGGGAA